rnacentral:rRNA from 1 species
CCUACGGGAGGCAGCAGUGGGGAAUAUUGCACAAUGGGGGGAACCCUGAUGCAGCGACGCCGCGUGGGUGAAGGAGUAUUUCGGUAUGUAAAGCCCUAUCAGCAGGGAAGAAAAUGACGGUACCUGAAGAAGAAGCCCCGGCUAACUACGUGCCAGCAGCCGCGGUAAUACGUAGGGGGCAAGCGUUAUCCGGAUUUACUGGGUGUAAAGGGGGCGCAGACGGCGAUGCAAGCCAGGAGUGAAAGCCCGGGGCCCAACCCCGGGACUGCUCUUGGAACUGCGUGGCUGGAGUGCAGGAGGGGCAG